rnacentral:tRNA from 1 species
CGGCGGCCUGGCCGAGGACAACCCCUUCCGCCAGCACCGGGAGUCCCGGCACCGGGGCCGGGUCCCGGCUCCGCGCGCCGAGGGCGUCGGC